rnacentral:lncRNA from 1 species
GAGCUGGGCAUCCAAGAAGAAGCAGCCUCAUUUGUUUUCUGGUGUCAUCGUAGGUGGCCACCUAUGGCUUUUGGGCUUCUCACCUGGGGCGGGUGGGUUCUGCACCACCCUCCCACCCUCCUUCCUCCGUGUGGACGAUAGAGCCACAUCCAGCACCACGGACAGCUCCCGGGCGAUCCCAUGGGAGUAGAAGAGGUGUGAGCAGGUUGCCCAGCUGGUUAGCGGAAAUGCCAAGAUCCAGGCUCCUGAAUUUCAGCCUGGCCCUUUCUAUCUGUCUGAUACCUCCUUUACGAGUCUCUCUGCCUGCGUUGUGUGGAGCGGGCCUGCUGCUGGUUGGGGGAGUUUGCAGGUUGCCCCUAUGCAAAAAAGGACAGGAUGCAUGACUGGCAUGUAAGGUGUUCAGGAAAACCAGGAAAAGACCAAAAAGAAGAAUGUACUUCAUCUGGUUGGGCUGGAUUCCCUCUGAUAAGCCUUCCCAGUUGACUGAAAGAUGAGGCUAGGCUCUAGCAAGUUGAAGUCAAACCAGCUCCUUCAAGAAGCUUUGAGCAGAAUGAAGUGGGGAGGACCCAGCUUCCAGCCCAGGAAGCCCACUGUACCUGGAGCCAUCUGGGAUAAGACUUUGACCCAUGACUCCCAUAUCCACAGCCUGUCCAUCCUAGCCCAUCCCAGUUUAUCCUGUAUCAUUUGAGCUGGGAUUCCCACAUCCUCUGAGUUGGAAGUCCCAUCUCAAGUCUUCAAUAAAGACUCUUGAAUAUUGAAUCACA